GCCUCCGUAGCUCAGUGGAUAGAGCGUCUGUCUCCGGAACAGAAGGUCGAAGGUUCGAUUCCUUUCGGGGGCA
rnacentral:tRNA from 1 species